rnacentral:tRNA from 1 species
GGGGAGAUAUCUCAGUUGGUAAAGUGUGUGCCUCUUAAGCAUAAGACCUGAAUUUGAUCUUCAGCUCCCACCU